ACUAAACUGCCUAAUAAUUUCCCAAAUGUCUUAAUUAAUAUUGUGUGAACAAUAUUUACUAAUCACUAUCAUCCUACACCAUUUGUAGCCCUUGCCUUCUGUAUAUAUUCGACUCGAACUCUCCUCAGUUUCCAGGAAGAGAGUGACAAAUGAGUUCUUACUCGUACGUGAAAUGUAUGUGGGCUUUCUAUCUCUUUUCAUCAUGCGUCCCCACUCUUUGGUUUGCACAGGGUGCAGAUCCUUAUUUGCCGGUCAAAGCUGUGAAUCUAGGAAAUUGGCUUGUUACAGAGGGAUGGAUGAAACCUUCACUCUUUGCUGGGAUACCCAACCAAGAUCUUUUGGAUGGAACUCAAGUGCAGUUCAUGUCUACAAAGCUGCAGAAGUAUCUCUCCGCUGAAAAUGGGGGUGGAACAGAUGUUGUCGCCAACCGCACCUCGCCCUCUGGCUGGGAGACUUUCAGGUUGUGGAGGAUCAAUGAGUCAACUUUCAAUCUCAGAGUGUUUAACAAACAGUUCUUUGGACUAGAAAAUCAAGGCAAAGGAAACAAAGUGGUAGCGGUUUUAAAUUCCCCUGGGAACUCAGAAACAUUUCAGAUAGUAAGGAAGAACGACGAUCGAAAUCGAGUUCGCAUAAAAGCAUCAAAUGGCCUCUUCCUCCAGGCAAAACCGGGGCUGGUGACUGCAGACUAUGGAGGCUCAGGUUGGGAUGAUAAUAAUCCAUCUGUCUUCCAAAUGAAGAUAGUCCGGACCUUACAAGGAGAAUACCAAAUCACUAAUGGCUAUGGUCCAGACAGAGCCCCUCAAGUCAUGCAGGAUCACUGGAAUGCAUACAUCACUAAUGAGGAUUUCAGAUUCUUGUCAUCAAAUGGUCUGAAUGCGGUUAGGAUUCCAGUUGGGUGGUGGAUAGCGAGCGACCCAACACCACCAAAGCCUUUUGUGGGGGGCUCCUUAAAGGCCUUGGACAAUGCUUUCACAUGGGCACAGAACAACGGCAUGAAGAUUAUAGUUGAUCUGCAUGCAGUUCAAGGUUCACAAAAUGGCAACGAUCAUAGUGGGACCAGAGAUGGGUUUCAGGAAUGGGGAGACUCCAAUAUUCAAGAUACUGUUGCAGUCAUAGACUUCCUAGCAGCAAGAUACGCCAACAACCCGAGUCUAGCAGCCAUUGAGUUGAUGAAUGAGCCUCUGGCUCCAGGAGUUACACUCAAUGAUCUUAAGAAGUAUUACAAAGCUGGUUACGAUGCCGUGAGGAAGUACACAUCAAAUGCUUAUGUGAUCCUAUCGAACCGACUGGGGCCUGCUGACUCCAAGGAGCUCCUGGACUUCGCCAGGGGCCUUAAUCGUGUAGUGAUCGAUGUGCAUUACUACAGCCUCUUCUCAGAUAUGUUUAACAACAUGAACGUACAACAGAAUAUUGAUUUCAUCUAUAACCAGAGAGCUUCAGACCUCAGUGCUGUUACCACUUCCAAUGGCCCUCUCAGUUUUGUAGGGGAAUGGACCGCAGAAUGGGCAAAAAGUGGAGCAUCAAAGGAAGACUACCAGAGAUUUGCAAAAGCUCAAAUAGAUGUGUACGGGCGUGCCACUUUUGGAUGGGCUUAUUGGGCUUACAGAUAGAUGUGCUCAGAACCACUGGAGCCUCAAGUGGAUGAUUGAGAACGGCUAUAUAAACCUCUUAAGUUCCUAAUAUGAAUAUUAGCUUGCUACUAUCCUUGCGUCUCCUUCCACUCCAAGUAAUGGUUUCUCAGGGGAAAUGUAUUUCAGCUAGUUAUAACUUAUAAUUAUAAGUGAAGAAGAUGCAAAUCUUUAAAGAUAUAAUAAGUUCGUUUUAUA